rnacentral:rRNA from 1 species
UACGUAGGAUGCAAGCGUUGUCCGGAUUUACUGGGCGUAAAGCGCGCGCAGGCGGCACUCUAAGUACGUCGUGAAAUAUCCCGGCUCAACCGGGAGGGUGCGAUGUAGACUAGGGAGCUAGAGGUCGGUAGAGGGGGGUGGAAUUGCUGGUGUAGCGGUGAAAUGCGUAGAGAUCAGCAGGAACACCCGUGGCGAAGGCGGCCCACUGGGCCGGUACUGACGCUGAGGCGCGAAGGCGUGGGGAGCGAACGGG